CCAUUGGCUGUUGGGGGGCGGUCCCUGCAUCCCUCCAUCCCACCACCCCCAGCAGACAAAGCCCCGCGCGAGGGCAGGUGGAGCCGGCUUGUGCUCGGCGCUGUGCGGAGCUCCAGCAGGGAGACCCCCCUCCCCACUCACCAUGGACACCCCUGCAGCUGCUGCCACUGGGGGUCUCCCAUCCCCUGCCAAAGCCAAGCCCCCCUCCAAAGCCAUUCCCCCAGGGGGCAAGCGACCCACAGCCCUCCCCAGCAAUGGGCCCAAGGUUCUGAGUGCUGGGGGGGGCAGGCGGGCAGAGGUCCCCCCCCGGAAACCUCCAGCUCCACUUGGGGCCAAGGCUGUGGUCAGGAAGCUGCCAGCAGAGAGACCUGAGGGGGGCAGGAAGGCACCAGGCCCCCCCACAGCCAAUGCCAAGUCAGCCCCAGCGAAGCCUGAGAGACCCGAGCC